rnacentral:rRNA from 1 species
UGAACGCUGGCGGCGUGCCUAAUACAUGCAAGUCGAGCGAACAGACGAGGAGCUUGCUCCUCUGACGUUAGCGGCGGACGGGUGAGUAACACGUGGAUAACCUACCUAUAAGACUGGGAUAACUUCGGGAAACCGGAGCUAAUACCGGAUAAUAUAUUGAACCGCAUGGUUCAAUAGUGAAAGACGGUUUUGCUGUCACUUAUAGAUGGAUCCGCGCCGCAUUAGCUAGUUGGUAAGGUAACGGCUUACCAAGGCAACGAUGCGUAGCCGACCUGAGAGGGUGAUCGGCCACACUGGAACUGAGACACGGUCCAGACUCCUACGGGAGGCAGCAGUAGGGAAUCUUCCGCAAUGGGCGAAAGCCUGACGGAGCAACGCCGCGUGAGUGAUGAAGGUCUUCGGAUCGUAAAACUCUGUUAUUAGGGAAGAACAAAUGUGUAAGUAACUAUGCACGUCCUGACGGUACCUAAUCAGAAAGCCACGGCUAACUACGUG